UACGUAGGGGGCAAGCGUUGUCCGGAUUUAUUGGGCGUAAAGAGCGUGUAGGCGGCCAGGUAGGUCUGCUGUGAAAACUCGAGGCUUAACCUCGAGCUGUCGGCGGAAACCAUCUGGCUAGAGUCCGGAAGAGGAGAAUGGAAUUCCCGGUGUAGCGGUGGAAUGCGCAGAUAUCAGGAGGAACACCAAUAGCGAAGGCAGCUCGCUGGGAC
rnacentral:rRNA from 1 species